AUGGAGGACCUACCUGAGGCUCUGCUGACAGAGAUUCUCAACAGGAUCACUAGGACAAGUGAUCUCAACUCUCUUUCCCUUGUGUCAAGGCAGCUCUACAAGAUAGAGGGGAGUCAAAGGGGUGCUAUCCAUGUUGGUUCCGGUCUUUGCACUGCUGCAAAAGCACUGACAUCAUUGUGCGCCCGCUUCCCAAAUCUGCGGAAAGUGGAAAUCGAUUACUCUGGCUGGAUACCUGGACAUGGAAAGCAGCUGGACAACAAAGGCCUUCUUGUGUUUUCAUCUCACUGUUCCUCGUUGAUUGACCUCACCUUAAGCUUCUGUUCAUGCAUUGAUGACUCUGGGCUUGGUUGCUUAGCGAAUUGCAAGAGAUUGGUGUCUCUCAGGCUGAACUCCACACCACAAAUAACUUCGAUUGGGCUUUUCUCGGUUGCAGUUGGUUGCACAAGUCUAUCUGCUCUCCACCUUAUUGAUUGCGAGAAAAUCGACAGUGUAGAGUGGCUGGAAUACCUUGGUAGGGAUGGAUCGUUGGAAGAGUUUGUAGUGAAGAAUUGCAAAAGAAUCAAUCAUCAUGACUUCCUAAAGUUUGGUCCAGGAUGGAUGAAGCUCCAGAAGUUUGAGUUUGAGAGGAAAAGAGGAAAAUAUGAUAGUCUUAUAGCCGUAGGUGGUAAGGUCUAUGACUCCUCGCACGAUGCUCACAGCAUGGAUAUAUAUGAUUUUUGCUGUGAGAGUUUGAAGGAUUUAAGGUUGGCGCAUAUUAAAACUUGGCCAGAUGUAGGACUUCGUGUUGUCCUAGGGAAGUGUAAAGCAUUGGAGAAGCUUUGCCUUGAGUAUGUUCAUGCCCUAAAUGAUAAUGACAUGAUUGCAUUAUCUCGGAGCUGCAGCAACCUUAAAAGCAUCUCACUUUGGCUCAACCUGCAGCUUUACUCUAGUGAUGUCGGCUAUUGUGAAACCAGGACGUCAUUUACAGAUAACAGCCUUUACGCUCUAGCCCUAAACUGUCGUAUGCUUCAGAUCGUAGACCUCAGCUUUACAGGAUGUUCUCGUGACUGGCCAUCAGAAAUAGGAUUCACACAAGAGGGUUUUCUGGUGCUCAUUCAGUCCUGCCCGAUUCGUGUUCUCGUGCUCAACAACGCCAACUUCUUUGAUGACAAGGGGAUGAAGGUCCUCGCAUCCUCACCUCAUCUGGAGACACUCGAGCUUAUACUGUGCCAUGCAGUAACUGAUGUUGGGAUGCGCUUCAUUGCGCACACCCCAUGCUUGAGUAAUCUCACACUUCGGAUGUGUCAUAACGUUACUGAUGCCGGAGUGGCUGAACUGGGACGUGUACAUAAGUUAGAGUCUUUGGUCAUUGAGUAUUGUGGUGAGAUCUCUCUGGAAGCUGCGCAGGGUGUUGCCAAGUCGGUUCGCUACUCAAAGGACUGUUCAGAUGCCCUUAUGAAUACAAUUGGUCUUGGGGCCUAUUGA
rnacentral:rRNA from 1 species